UUUUUUAAAUAGGUGGCGAGAUUGAUAGAGGUCAAUUUCAAGGUAUAGAUAAUACGCUGUAGGAGUCAGAUGAUAUGGAGAGUCCAAAUGAGGAUCUGGAUUAGAUUGGUGAAUGUGUUUAAGUUGAGGAGAUGUGGUUAGAAGAAGGUCUUCUGAUGUCCUUAGUUUUAAUGUCUUUGAGUUUUAAUUAUAUUUUCGGGUUUAGGUGAGAUUUAUGUAAUUAUUGGUGGGGU